rnacentral:rRNA from 1 species
GACGAACGCUGGCGGCGUGCUUAACACAUGCAAGUCGAACGGAAAGGCCUGCUUUCCCUUGUGGAUUGCGGGUACUCGAGUGGCGAACGGGUGAGUAACACGUGAGUGAUCUGCCCCCAACUUGGGUAUAAGCCUGGGAAAAUGGGUCUAAUUCCCGAUAGGACUGCAGGGUGGUGCCUGUGGUGGAAAACGAUUUUCUAGUGGUUGGGGAUGAGCUCGCGGCCUAUCAGCUUGUUGGUGGGGUAAUGGCCUACCAAGGCGGCGACGGGUAGCCGGCCUGAGAGGGUGGACGGCCACAUUGGGACUGAGAUACGGCCCAGACUCCUACGGGAGGCAGCAGUGGGGAAUAUUGCACAAUGGGCGGAAGCCUGAUGCAGCGACGCCGCGUGGGGGAUGACGGCCUUCGGGUUGUAAACUCCUUUCGACCGCGAGGAAGCCACCUGGUUGGAAGGGUGGUGACGGUAGUGGUAGAAGAAGCACCGGCUAACUACGUG